GACGAACGCUGGCGGCGCGCCUAACACAUGCAAGUCGAACGAGCGAGAGAGAGCUUGCUUUCUCGAGCGAGUGGCGAACGGGUGAGUAACGCGUGAGGAACCUGCCUCAAAGAGGGGGACAACAGUUGGAAACGACUGCUAAUACCGCAUAAGCCCACGGCUCGGCAUCGAGCAGAGGGAAAAGGAGCAAUCCGCUUUGAGAUGGCCUCGCGUCCGAUUAGCUAGUUGGUGAGGUAACGGCCCACCAAGGCAACGAUCGGUAGCCGGACUGAGAGGUUGAACGGCCACAUUGGGACUGAGACACGGCCCAGACUCCUACGGGAGGCAGCAGUGGGGAAUAUUGCACAAUGGGGGAAACCCUGAUGCAGCGACGCCGCGUGGAGGAAGGAGGUCUUCGGAUUGUAAACUCCUGUUGUUGGGGAAGAUAAUGACGGUACCCAACAAGGAAGUGACGGCUAACUACGUGCCAGCAGCCGCGGUAAAACGUAGGUCACAAGCGUUGUCCGGAAUUACUGGGUGUAAAGGGAGCGCAGGCGGGAAGACAAGUUGGAAGUGAAAUCUAUGGGCUCAACCCAUAAACUGCUUUCAAAACUGUUUUUCUUGAGUAGUGCAGAGGUAGGCGGAAUUCCCGGUGUAGCGGUGGAAUGCGUAGAUAUCGGGAGGAACACCAGUGGCGGAGGCGGCCUACUGGGCACCAACUGACGCUGAGGCUCGAAAGUGUGGGUAGCAAACAGGAUUAGAUACCCUGGUAGUCCACACCGUAAACGAUGAUUACUAGGUGUUGGAGGAUUGACCCCUUCAGUGCCGCAGUUAACACAAUAAGUAAUCCACCUGGGGAGUACGACCGCAAGGUUGAAACUCAAAGGAAUUGACGGGGGCCCGCACAAGCAGUGGAGUAUGUGGUUUAAUUCGACGCAACGCGAAGAACCUUACCAAGUCUUGACAUCCCUUGACAGGCAUAGAAAUAUGUUUUCUCUUCGGAGCAAGGAGACAGGUGGUGCAUGGUUGUCGUCAGCUCGUGUCGUGAGAUGUUGGGUUAAGUCCCGCAACGAGCGCAACCCUUAUGGUCAGUUACUACGCAAGAGGACUCUGGCCAGACUGCCGUUGACAAAACGGAGGAAGGUGGGGAUGACGUCAAAUCAUCAUGCCCUUUAUGACUUGGGCUACACACGUACUACAAUGGCGUUAAACAAAGAGAAGCAAGACCGCGAGGUGGAGCAAAACUCAGAAACAACGUCCCAGUUCGGACUGCAGGCUGCAACUCGCCUGCACGAAGUCGGAAUUGCUAGUAAUCGUGGAUCAGCAUGCCACGGUGAAUACGUUCCCGGGCCU
rnacentral:rRNA from 1 species